ACAUGCAAGUCGAGCGGUAAGGCCCUUCGGGGUACACGAGCGGCGAACGGGUGAGUAACACGUGAGCAACCUGCCCCUGACUCCGGGAUAAGCGGUGGAAACGCCGUCUAAUACCGGAUAUGACACACCAUCUCCUGGUGGUGUGUGGAAAGUUUUGUCGGUCAGGGAUGGGCUCGCGGCCUAUCAGCUAGUUGGUGGGGUAAAGGCCUACCAAGGCGAUUACGGGUAGCCGGCCUGAGAGGGCGACCGGCCACACUGGGACUGAGACACGGCCCAGACUCCUGCGGGAGGCAGCAGUGGGGAAUAUUGCACAAUGGGCGAAAGCCUGAUGCAGCGACGCCGCGUGGGGGAUGACGGCCUUCGGGUUGUAAACCUCUUUUACCACCAACGCAGGCCCCGGGUUCUCUCGGGGUUGACGGUAGGUGGGGAAUAAGGACCGGCUAACUA
rnacentral:rRNA from 1 species